CCACACGAAAAGGCUGGUUCCGCUCCGGUCGGAUGCCGCGCCGUAGGGGAAAACAACCCCGCCGCGCCGCCGCAUGCCGUCCGUGUGGCCGCUCCGCCGCCCGAAAACCGCCGCGCCGCGCCGUCGUACAAUCCUCCGCCGUUCUACACGCCGCGUCGCGGGAGCCGGAGGUUUUGAAAGCUGAUGAGUUCAGCUUCCUCCAGCUGAAAAAUUCCAACUCACGCUUUCAAAUUUCACCUCUAUUUUCUCCUUAUCCUGGAUUUCCAGCUCCAGUGGGUGAGGAUAAGGGGGGUGAAGAGGUGGGAUUAAUGGCAGGACAUCCCUUUUUACAUGUGAUUUUUUGAACUCAAUUUGUAUGACAGGACCUGAAAUCUGAGUUUUGAGAAACUUAGACCUAUAUUUUACACGCUUGGCAUUCUAUUAUGCUCUUUCUAUGGUAUCCACUAUGUUUGUGCUGGAACCGAUGAGAGAAAAUGUCUAUGUCGAAAAUUCAUGAGUGAAAGCAAUGUAAAGGAACAGAUGCUGGAAACUGCCAAAUUGGUUUCAGCAAUUCUUGGUAGAGUACAGCGAAACUGUGAGCCAGUGAAGUCCUUCUGUUGGCACAAUAUAGAUGCAAUGAUGUGUACACUGAUCAGGAAAUACAUCAUACAGUUAAGUGCAAAAUCAUUAGCAUGCAUCCCUUUGUCUGGUUGGUUCAAUUUUCAAAAGCCCCCCUCCCCCUCUCAAAAAAUUUGGUCACCUGCAUAAAUCAGCAAAGCAUGUGGGCCAAAUCUGGAGCCGAUGUCCUCUCCCGACGAGCAGCUUGCUGCAAUAUGUAUCCGUCUACCUCCAUGCAUGGUAAUCAAGUCAUCAACUCGUCUCACGACUCAGGAUUAGGAUCCACCCCAGCUGAAAGAUUUCCCAGACCGUAGAUUCAGCGAGAAGCUCAACCCAAACAUCUCCUUGAUGGCCUGUCCUCGCUCCAGAUGUUGGACCAUUUUCGAGACGAGCUCAGCGCUCUCCCUCACAUGCUCCAUGUCAGUCUGUGUCCAGAUGAGGCGCGAUAGCUGCAGCCUCCGUUGCUUAGAGCUCCGGUCGAUCCCCCACUUGAUGUAGAGGCUCUCCUUUUCAGCGCCGCUAAGCUUCCUCACCAUCUGCCUGUACAACAUGUCCCUCUCAUUCCGAAGACUCUUUAAACUGCAACAAUAACAAGAAUCAAUGUGUGCAAUUCAUUGUGAUUGGUUUUAUAGAUAAGCUGAAGUUGUGUUCAUUAUCAUCAUAUGAUAAGUACCUUGAUGCAACAGUGGCAUUCGGCUCACCAUCAGCAAUGGAAGAAUGCUUGAUGAAGGAAAGUCGCCUGUGCUCUACCUCCAUGUAGAUGUGAUCUGUGUGGUCUCCAUUGAAGAGGAGGAAGAAGUAAGUCCUGUGCACUAUGGAGAUAUGACACUCAUGCCACAGCUCGAUGAUCUCUUUCUGCUUCUUUGGAAAAUCAAAGGACCACCGUGAGGGAGACUCGAAGGUGGUGCUCGUUGACGAAUCCGUGCCAGCUUGCACCCGGUUUUCCUGUGGCUGGGAUGCGUCGUUCUGCUCAGUUUGCUGCUUCACUUCAGUUACGCGGCUUGUGUCAUUGGCAGCACUUUCUUCUUCAGUGUUCCUCCUUGCCUGUGGCUGGGAUGCGUCGUUCUGCUCAGUUUGCUGCUUCACUCCUGUGCUGUUGUCGGUGAUGGCAUCCGAGGCAACUUUUUCAGGAAACAGGUUCCUCCUUGCCUGUUCUGGCCUUCUCGGAGGAAACUUGAAAUUUUCACUUGGGGGUGUUGUCAUGUUCAUACUUGUUGAAUCAUCAAACCAGCUGUUUGGAAUUACCAUGAAGCUUGCUUUGCAGCUGUUGCUCCUUGCUAGCACAGUAUCCCUGGAGCUUACCACACACCUCUUCAGGGCCAAUGGUUCCUCGUCAAUGUUAGAUAUUUCAAUUUCAAAAGACGGGUCAGAAUCGCAUGCAUAUAACUCGAUGGCAUUUUCUGCUGUCUUUGUGAUGCUUUCACCACGUUUCUCUUCAUCAGUACAAUCUUCAGCUUGAUCCAUCAUCGGUCUUCUCUCCUUUUCAGGCGUUUCAGGUUUCUGUGCAUGAAAGGAUUCUUGGCUUAUCCUUUCUCUGAGCACGUUGGUUUCAACACAUUGUACUUCCUUGCAGUGCUCCUCAGAGACAUCUGGCACAUCUGGGUAGGCCACCAAGUUUUCUUGGCAUUCAUCUAUGCUGUCGAAAACAUGGUUACUGGGUCGGCGCGGAAAGAGCCCUGGCUGUGCAUCUAUUAAUAGAUCUUGAUCGACUAGGUCAUAAGUAUCUGAACAUGAAAGUGCAUCUUCCGACAUAUUACGUGGUAGGGAUUCUGAAGAUCGACUAUGUGCAUCCUGUCAGAGGUAGGUUACCCGGUUUGGUAUUUACAGGCACAAGUAAAACUUCUAGAUGAGAAAAAUGACAGUUAUACAUGAGAGAGCAAGUACCCAUCGUCUUGCUUUAAGAUAAUUGAGUUGAUCAUCACUUGCAACUUUGCGGAAAUUCUCAAGUUCUGAUUGAACCGUGUCUUUUUCCUCCAUCAAUUCCUUCAGCUGUUCUUCCAGCUGGAAAUCCAUAACAUUAUGUAUUUUUAAAACAAGGUGAUUAUUGUGAAUGUAGCUAGUUACCAUGAAUGUGAAGAUUAUUAAAAGGUGAUUUACUAAGACUAACCAAACCUUUUUAAUCUGUUCAUCCUUCUCCUUCAGAACCUCAGCAUGACUUGAGCAGGAGGCUGAUCCAGGAAACUUGAGCUCAUUCUCCAACCUCGUAAGCUCUCUCUGAAGAUGCUUCACUAAUGCCUUGUCUGACAUUACGACAUUUACUUGUGCAUUGGUGGCUACAUUUUUUGCGCAGUUUGCAAACAAGAGCGUGUUCCUCGACUGCUCGACGUGGCAGUGCGCCGGGCUCAUCGUGCAGAUGAUGGCUGUCCUCGCGUUGCCUCCCAAAGACGAGUGCAAUAUGCGAGUGAGCUUGGAGUCUCUGUAGGGGAUAUGGCCGUUUCUCCCCCCGCUGCAUCAGAAGCCAACCAGUUCGUCAGAGCUUGGGCUUGUACUUCAGGAAGUAUGCCUUGAAAUUCAACAAACCUGAGCUGGCGAAUGACCUUUCCCAGUGUAAGAAGACUCUUAUUGAUAUGACUGCCCUCCUUCAGCCUCAUUCCGCUCGCCGCUGUCUGUGAUGCACGUUCACUUCCUGCCAGAUCAACGAAGUUCUGCGCAGAAGGAGGAGCUCAGAGGCCAUGCAUGGAACUGUAGUAUCGUCGAAAGAAUCUAAAACACUGGAAGAAAUUAAGGUGUUCACUUCAUACCACGCAAGCCUGAAGGGUGCUGGAGUUGCCUUUCCCCAGGAACUGCUUGGCCGAGCUCUCAACCGUCUGCAGUUUACACAGCAGGGUAAGAACACAAACAAAUUCUCGCAGAACAUUGAAUGACUACCGAUCGUCGUUCAGUGUGAUAAGGCCAUAAGGGCACCUACCAGCCUGAGUAUUUGGUGUGACCUGGAACUUGUUUCGUUCAAGGCAGUCUCCCCGAUCUGUCUUUGAGCUGUGGCACAACACAAAUGAAUGAUCAAAACAGUAAUGAACCAGUUGAGCAGCCUGCGGAUAUGUUAUUUCCAGUUUGGGCGAUUCAGUGGAAGAAAGAAAGAAAAAAAGGAUUCAGCUCCACACCUUCACACACAGCAAGGAGCUCCAGUAGAUGGCCUUUGUCCCUCAGAGUUUCCUCGCUAGAAAACAGUUUUAGUUCACCUCCGGGUCGUCGAGGAGCCGGAGAGGGGUGGUGUCGGAGCUGAGGAGAUCCCUGACGGCCUCGUUGUAUAUCUCCAUGGCCGAGAACUUGAGGAUGAACUCCCUGUCGGGAUGCUGAAUUGAAGACCCGAAGCAGAGCACAGGUUAAGCGCCGACAAAGCAAACCAACAGCAGCAGAGCCAUGCAGACAAUGCACGGUAUGCACCUGGUCUAUAUAUUCGUAAAUUUCGGCCAUGCUGUGCUCCGUGAUGCCGACCAUGGUGUACGUCUUGCCGCUGCUCGUCUGCCCGUAGGCGAAAAUGCUCGCUGCAGAGAAAAGCAUGCAAGCAGGCGGAAAACAUCAAACAUCUUUACAGCAUUGGAUUGGAUGUAUGGA